AGUGAACGCUGGCGGUAGGCCUAACACAUGCAAGUCGAACGGCAGCACAGUAAGAGCUUGCUCUUACGGGUGGCGAGUGGCGGACGGGUGAGGAAUACAUCGGAAUCUACUUUUUCGUGGGGGAUAACGUAGGGAAACUUACGCUAAUACCGCAUACGACCUACGGGUGAAAGCAGGGGAUCUUCGGACCUUGCGCGAUUGAAUGAGCCGAUGUCGGAUUAGCUAGUUGGCGGGGUAAAGGCCCACCAAGGCGACGAUCCGUAGCUGGUCUGAGAGGAUGAUCAUCCACACUGGAACUGGGACACGGUCCAUACUCCUACGGAGUGCACCAGUGGGGAAUAUUGGACAAUGGGCGCAAGCCUGAUCCAGCCAUACCGCGUGGGUGAAGAAGGCCUUCGGGUUGUAAAGCCCUUUUGUUGGGAAAGAAAAGCAGCAGAUUAAUACCCCGCUGUUCUGACGGUACCCAAAGAAUAAGCACCGGCUAACUUCGUG
rnacentral:rRNA from 1 species